AUCAUUUUCAUCAAUUCUAUGGGGAGUGACAUUUGCUUUCCGUCAGGUUUUAAACUGAAAAACGUCAUUUUCAAUUAGAACGAUAUAAAAACGCACGGCCCCUUUAAAUAAAUGACUCACUCACUUGCCCUUUUUCAGUGCAUAUGGCCAAAGAUUCAGCUGUUUUCGAUCACACAAUUAUGACUUAAUAUCAGAAUUUAAGCACCGGCUCCCUCUUUCGGAGGACUUCAAAGAAAUGUGGUAUCAAGCCGGAGACAUUAUUAGGCUAAAACCGCUUCACUUUCAGAUUACCAUUCUGCCUCCUGAUUCACCUCAAACCCGGGUCAGUGGCGCUCGGGCCGGCUGUAACGGAUCCCCGAGUGUCAACCGGAGAGCGGCGCACUCACCCUCACUUCAUUGGGAUCGUCCGAGUAGUCCACGGGCUGGCAGAUGUAGCUGUAGUUGGCCGCUCGCGCCGCGAGGAAGAGCUGAAACACAACAAAUGCCGUCCGGGAUGUGAACCGUUUGUUCCUUCAACAGAUUUGGAGAUACGUAGCUCUCUGUGGUGAAUGGGUGCCGUCAGAAGGAGUCCAAGCAGCUGAUAAAAACAUCACGAUAACACACACCACUUCACAUCCGGAGAAGACCAAAGCUUUAUGUUCACUGAGGGACUGGAGGGCUGUGGGUUAUUGUGAGGUUUUUAUCAGGCUCUCGUUCUGACGGCACCCAUUCGCAUCCAUUGCCGAGACACAUUUCUACGAAUACAUCUUGGAAGGAUUGAUCUUCAUCUGGGGUGAACUGAUCCUUUAAACGAAACUAAAGAUGUAACUUUUCAAAAGAAUGAGCAAGAAACCGAAACUAAGAAUGUGCACUGCAAUAAAAAAUACGUUUUCGAUCUGUUUUGGCUGGUCUGAUUUCAUUCAUUUCUCAAAUCUGACUGCGUUUCCGUCCAAAUAAUGUUGAAUCAUAAAUACCCAGAGUGGCAAUUUACAGCUAAAUAUAGCAGCAGCGGGACAUUUAUAGCACAUUUAACGGAAAUAUAGUCAGAUAUAAGAAGUAAAAACUUACAGGCUGCACUCAAAAAAUGGUAAGAUCUUACUUAACUGGUUCUGUUAAUAUUAUUUCAUAUUGUUGGAUAUCAAUUCGUGCAUACCACCAAUGGCAUCUCCUAUGGGUUAAAUGCUGCUGGCGUUUUCCGAGGAGCUGGUGGUUUUUGGG